AGAACGAACGCUGGCGGCAUGCCUAACACAUGCAAGUCGAACGAGACCUUCGGGUCUAGUGGGCGCACGGGUGCGUAACGCGUGGGAAUCUGCCCUUGGGUUCGGGAUAACAGUUGGAAACGACUGCUAAUACCGGAUGAUGACUUCGGUCCAAAGAUUUAUCGCCCAGGGAUGAGCCCGGCGUAGGAUUAGCUAGUUGGUGAGGUAAAGGCUCACCGAAGGCGACGAUCCUUAGCUGGUCUGAGAGGAUGAUCAGCCA
rnacentral:rRNA from 1 species